rnacentral:rRNA from 1 species
UACGGAGGAUGCGAGCGCUAUCCGGAUUUAUUGGGUUUAAAGGGUGCGUAGGCGGCUUUUUAAGUCAGCGGUGAAAUUUUGCAGCUUAACUGUAACAGUGCCGUUGAUACUGGGGAGCUAGGAUUUGGUUGCUGUGGGUGGAAUGUGUGGUGUAGCGGUGAAAUGCUUAGAGAUCACACAGAAUAUCGAUUGCGAAGGCAGCUCACAAAGCCAAGAUUGACGCUGAGGCACGAAAGUGUGGGGAUCAAACAGGA